CAAAAGGUCAGGGGUGAACCUGGAUGCAUGACAACGGGCUGACAGGCUCAGUUGCUAAGGGGAUAGGUGACAAGGUGGCACGGACGUAGGGUGACAAGGUGAUGGCAUGAGGUGACAGAAAAGUUACCAGCAGUAAACAUCCUUCCUGUUUGCUCUCUUUGCUCUGAGUCACAGCCGUGACGUGCUGAAACAGCCAAGGGGGAGGUGAACAUACUCCUGUUGGCAGUUAAGGAGAACCAAGGGGAGGAAAUGAAAGGUUCUACCCCGAACCCCCACCCUCACCUCUCCUCAGGCCUUACUGCCACAUCCACUGCACAUCCUCUGCUCCCUUCCGGGCCCCCAGCUCUGGAGCCUCACAAAGGAGCCCGAACAAGAGAAAAGAAAGAGCCAGUGCCACUUGGACGGGAUUACAUCCCAGUAAGAUUCUUCCACCCUCUUGGCCAGCCGCCCCUUAACCCUCCCCUUCCCUGAUUAGAAAGUGAGCAGGGAAAGGCUGGCUGCAUAUAGAAAAAGGGUCCACACAUGUCCAAUGAAGUGUUGCACUGUUGUAAGGAGUAGACUUACUGAGAGUCGUGUCAGUCUGGUCUUAUCAGAAAUCCUGCUGCUGAAGUUAAUGUAAAGUUCCUGGCUUAUUUUUUACCACAAAUGCAACACUGAGCAGAGAUCAAAUUAAAACACCUUGUUCAAUUGUUUAAUUUAGUCUUAUCAAAAUCAAGGAUAAUUGUUCCAUGAUACUCGUUAAAUUCACUUUUUACCAGAUAAAGUUUUCAAAUUACAGAAUGUAUCUAGGCCCCUCGUGUAAGCUUUGAUUUUUACAUGCCCUGACAUACCCAGGAUUCAGUCUUUGAGCUUCAGGAACAUCAUGGCUCUCGUGUCCUUUUGUAUGUGUAUUUGCAUAUGUAUGUAUACAUCUAUCUAUAUAUAUACAUGUUUUAUAUUUUUAUAUUCCAUAUUUUAUAUCGGCUCCUUAAAGGAAUUCUGCUGGCCAUCACCGUACAGGAAGAACCCCAAGAGCUCUCU